GGCUGAUGGUGCUGUCGAUCUGGCGAAAUCCCCGCCCUCUGUUAUUCUAAGCCCGCGAUGAUUGGCUGAGAGAGGCAGGCCAAGAGACCGAAUCUUGUAGAAAUCGAAGGGGCGGAGCCGUGUACUACGGGAAGACUUGAGGCCCAAUCGUGGCUGGCGGAAGGAGCGCCUGUGCCCUGGAGGACCGCCAGAGGGAGCCGGAACCUCCGCGCAGCACAGUGCUCCAAUCUCGGCCCAGCUACUGAGAAACAUCUCAUAACUCCUACGAGAUUUGACAGAGCUGCAGACACUGAAAACGGUAGUAACUACUGUUUGUGAAAACUCAUUAAGGAAUCUGGUUGGCAGACACUACCAAUCAACUAAAGAUGGCCCCAGAGAUAAAAAUCUUUUUGCCAUCAUCGAAUGGCACAAUUCUGCCUCCCCAGAGUGGAUGAAAGAGCAUCAAGAAGCAGCUCAGCUGGGAUCUGCACAGCAAGAAUGCACAGCUAACCCCUUGUCCUCCAGACCUGUGUAU